UACGAAGGUGGCAAGCGUUGUUCGGAUUUACUGGGCGUAAAGGGAGCGUAGGUGGUUAGGUAAGCCCUCCGGGAAAUCUUCAGGCUUAACCUGAAAAGGUCGGGGGGACUGCCUAGCUAGAGGGCGGGAGAGGAGCGCGGAAUUCCCGGUGUAGCGGUGAAAUGCGUAGAGAUCGGGAGGAAGGCCGGGUGGCGAAGGCGGCGCUCUGGAACGUUUCUGACACUGAGGCUCGAAAGCGUGGGUAGCAAACAGG
rnacentral:rRNA from 1 species